AGUAAUAACUUUGUUAUUAGGAGUUUUUUUCAAAUGCAGAACUCUAACGAAUUUUAGCACCAUUGAAACAUUCAUAGCUUGCUAAACCAUCCCGGUACACCUUGAGAACAGUUCGAAUAAGUGCCGCAUCCGCAAUUGUCGGCCCUGGAGGAGAUUCAAGUGUUUGAAAUGAAUAUUAAAAUGGCAAGAACGCAUCGCAAUGGAUUAGGCCGAGCGGACCCGCUCUUAGAUUACUCGUUUCAUUAAGUUGAGUGCCUGUCUGAUAUGCCGGAGUUCUUCCGGAGCAGCCAUCACUAUAUAUACCUACAUUCCAUUAAGGGAAAGCUCGAGCAUGGAAGAUGUCUUCAUUUAAAUUUUUGCUCCCUGACCCUUUGCCUAAAACGCUCCUUUUGUGUUGUUGUUUUUACUUACAUUAAUGGAUUCCAUUAACGCCAGCGCAUUAAACAUUGUUAUGAUAAUUUUUCAUCGGCCUGGAUGCGAAAAGUCAAGCUCAUCCUUCGUAAUUCUGAAAUUUGCUUUUGCUUAAAUCACCUUCGCACAUUCCUAGGCACCCCCCUUACAGUAAAAAAUAAAACAACAAAGACAUUGGAGUGAGAAUCUUUCACGUGUAUGAAAAAUUACAUACAAUUUCACAGAAUGAGAAUCACUCCGGCGCUCCAGGGAAAAAAAGGCAACAUUAAGUGCCCAAGUAAUUUCCAAUCGCGCACACUUGACCCCACCCUGUAUAAGCCCGGUCAGCAACAUUUGCCCCUGAUUCACGUGUUAACUGCUCCACUUUCCAGAACAAAUGGGGAAUAGAUGAAAAUUUACAAAUGACGAUUACGAGCUGAAUAACGCCCAUGAUAUGAUGGAUAAAGCCUGAUCAUUAAGCCCCGUAUUUAAAUCUAUUUAUUUUGGCAUAACAUUGUCGCAUCAAUUAGAUUUAUUGAUACAAAUCCCGAAGCUAAUUAUGACCAUCCAAACACCCGCAGUAACAAGCUUGAAUUGUCGGCACAAUAAUUAGGCGAAACACAAAUAAUAAUAUGGCCGGUUGAAUUAUUGCGCUUUUUGAAUACAAUGCCGGAAAUUUGGCGGUUUUCGGCCCCUGAUUUAUCUGGUCAUCAUCAGGAUUCGAAACAAGACGGUGGUGGGUGUGUCUGAUAAUAGUAGUUUUUGAUACAAGUUUUCGUAUGGAACAAUAUUGUUAGCGACCUGGGAAAACGGAGCAACCACGCGAGAGCGGCAACACUGGUAGGCGGGACACACCCAGGACGGGAGUGGCAACAUCGCGGCUACUUCAUGGCUGUGACGGGAGACGGCGCGGCGUUACUUCCGGGCAACACAGAACAUCCGUGGGGUUGCCAGGGGAGAUGGAUCAUUAUUGAUUUGAUGGUGACGGUGCAAGGCGUUCAUUAAAAUUAUUGAGCUUUGCAUCGAUCGUAUUCUUCCUUAAAUUUAACCCUAACAAUAUUUUUUAUUCGAAUAAAGGAAAAAAGUUAUAAUAGAUGAAAAUAGCCAAAAAUAAAAGCCGGCAACUUUUUGCAACAGCAUGUUUUGACGUUUGUAGUUUUUCAAACGCGUACUUUUGUAAGCAUAUACAAGUGAAAUAGUGAGUGUUGAAAAUCCAAGUGCUGCUUUCACGAAACUUACUGGCAUCCGGAACCUUUUGCGUACCGGCACACAGACGCAUACGAUCAUCGGGUCCUUCGCAACCACAUGAAGGUUCAAGAGCGGCUUCCACAAGAGCAGCAAUGUGUCGCGAUGCACAGACAUUUUUUUUAUAGUAGAGAGCUCUAUUUUAUCAAGUUAUUCAUGUAAAAACUGUAAAUUUUGUACAGAAUCUGAACCAACCCGUUAAUGCGUUAAAACUUGUAAAGGGUUGCUUCGUAUGCUUGGAGACUUUUGCGGACUUCGAAUAAUAAACUUACCAGACGCGGUCUAAAUUUAUGGACCAACCUGUACAGAGAGUAAAAAAUG